rnacentral:sRNA from 1 species
CAUGCCCCUUAUACGCUGGGCUACACACGUGCUACAAUGGGUAGAACAGAGAGUCGCAAAGCUGUGAAGUGGAGCUAAUCUCAGAAAACUAUUCUUAGUUCGGAUUGUACUCUGCAACUCGAGUACAUGAAGUUGGAAUCGCUAGUAAUCGCGAAUCAGCAAUGUCGCGGUGAAUACGUUCUCGGGUCUUGUACACACCGCCCGUCACACCACGAGAGUUGGUUGCACCUGAAGUAGCAGGCCUAACCGUAAGGAGGGAUGCUCCGAGGGUGUGAUUAGCGAUUGGGGUGAAGUCGUAACAAGGUAUCCGUACGGGAACGUGCGGAUGGAUCACCUCCUUUCUAAGGAGAUAAAGUCUUUCUCUAUUCUAUUGGUAAUGUUCUUUACAUUACUUCUGAACAUUGGAAACUAUAUAGUAGAACAAAUAAGAAAAAAAUUAACUCUAACAAUUUCUUAGAGUUAGCUGUCAAAAAAUAGAUUAAAAUAAUUAAGGGCACACAAAGGAUGCCUAGGUAGUAAGAGCCGAUGAAGGACGUGGUAAGCUGCGAUAAGCCUAG